AGACUCGUUGUGACAGCGGAGGAUCAUUACCGAGUUUACAACUCCCAAACCCCUGUGAACAUACCACUUGUUGCCUCGGCGGAUCAGCCCGCUCCCGGUAAAACGGGACGGCCCGCCAGAGGACCCCUAAACUCUGUUUCUAUAUGUAACUUCUGAGUAAAACCAUAAAUAAAUCAAAACUUUCAACAACGGAUCUCUUGGUUCUGGCAUCGAUGAAGAACGCAGCAAAAUGCGAUAAGUAAUGUGAAUUGCAGAAUUCAGUGAAUCAUCGAAUCUUUGAACGCACAUUGCGCCCGCCAGUAUUCUGGCGGGCAUGCCUGUUCGAGCGUCAUUUCAACCCUCAAGCACAGCUUGGUGUUGGGACUCGCGUUAAUUCGCGUUCCUCAAAUUGAUUGGCGGUCACGUCGAGCUUCCAUAGCGUAGUAGUAAAACCCUCGUUACUGGUAAUCGUCGCGGCCACGCCGUUAAACCCCAACUUCUGAAUGUUGACCUCGGAUCAGGUAGGAAUACCCGCUGAACUUAAGCAUAUCAAAAUGGGGAGAGAACUG
rnacentral:rRNA from 1 species